rnacentral:rRNA from 1 species
UAGGAUUAGAUACCCUAUUAUUUUAGGAGCUCUACAUUGUAAGUAUAUAAAUAUUAUGAAAGCAAAAAAUUAUGGCGGUAUCUUAAGCUUAUCAGAGGAAUUUGCUCUUUAAUGGAUAAAACACCUUAAUCUUACUUUAGUUUGUUAAAUCAGUUUGUAUACCACUAUUAAAAUAAUAAUAUACUAUUAUUAUUAUAAUAUAACUUUUUUAUAAAAAAUUAAGUCAAGGUGCAGCAUAAAUUAAAGUAUGAAGUGAAUUACAUUGCUUAUUAGAAAGUAUAAAUGAAAUGAUAAUUUAGGAUUUGAAAGUAAAAUUGAAAUAGAAAGUUAAUUUGAAUAAAGCUCUAGGAUAUGUACAUAUCGCCCGU